rnacentral:rRNA from 1 species
AUUGAACGCUCGCGGCAUGCUUUACACAUGCAAGUCGAACGGUAACAGGCCUUCGGGUGCUGCCGAGUGGCGAACGGGUGCGUAAUGCAUCGGAACGUACCCAGAGGUGGGGGAUAACGCAGCGAAAGCUGUGCUAAUACCGCAUGUGAUCUGGGGAUGAAAGCGGGGGACCGAGCAGCAAUGUUUGGCCUCGCGCCUUUGGAGCGGCCGAUGUCGGAUUAGCUAGUUGGUGGGGUAAAGGCCUACCAAGGCGACGAUCCGUAGCUGGUCUGAGAGGACGACCAGCCACACUGGAACUGAGACACGGCCCAGACUCCUACGGGAGGCAGCAGUGGGGAAUAUUGGACAAUGGGCGCAAGCCUGAUCCAGCAAUGCCGCGUGCGGGAAGAAGGCCUUCGGGUUGUAAACCGCUUUUGGCAGGAACGAAACGGUGUCCGCUAAUACCGGGCGCUAAUGACGGUACCUGCAGAAUAAGCACCGGCUAACUACGUG